AUUGAACGCUGGCGGCAGGCCUAACACAUGCAAGUCGAACGAGUGGCGGACGGGUGAGUAAUGUCUGGGAAACUGCCCGAUGGAGGGGGAUAACUACUGGAAACGGUAGCUAAUACCGCAUACCAUCGGAUGUGCCCAGCUGGGAUUAGCCAGUAGGUGGGGUAACGGCUCACCUAAGCGACGAUCCCUAGCGGGUCUGCGAGGAUGACCAGCGACACGGGAACUGAGACACGGGCCAGACUCCUACGGGAGGCAGCAGUGGGGAAUAUUGCACAAUGGGCGCAAGCCUGAUGCAGCCAGGCCGCGUGUAUGGAGAAGGCCUUCGGGUUGUAAAGUACUUUCAGCGGGGAGGCGUUACCCGCAGAAGAAGCACCGGCUAACUCCGUGCCAGCAGCCGCGGUAAUUC
rnacentral:rRNA from 1 species